ensembl:lncRNA
ACCCAAUCCUAGAUGCUAGCAAAAGAGGCUGUUGCAGGUGGCAGUGCUGGCUGUUGCACCACUCUCCCAUCUCAUUGCUUCUUUCCCCCCUACUCCCCUCCGAUGUCAAGACUGUGGAGGAACCUGAGUGCAGAAGCUGCUCCAGCACAGCCUAUGCCCAGCCCACUUACUUCACCAUGUCAUGGUAUUGCCUUGCCCUCUGAAGCCACUUGGGAAGCAAAUGAGAGUUACAGCUUGCUCCUUGAUUUUCUUUGAUCUUCUGUUUAGGCUAAAAUUCAUCCUGUCUGGGGAGGCUUGUGUCAAGACAGAUACACUCCAUGGAAUAUUGACUCAGCCAGGCUCUGGUACGGAGGCCUCUGUGCUGUGUCUGAAGAGAGAAAAUCAGGACUGUAACCUUUCCAUGUGACACAGAUAUCACAGAUGAAACAAAAUGUUUUAUUCUUAUUUUCCCUCCUAGGCCAGAAAACAAGAGUGAUUUUAAUCACUCAGUUCAUCACUUGGGUCACUAGAAUUCAGGAGAAUUCAUAAUUAAUGACUCAGAGCAAGUUUUUUUUUUUCUUCAGUUCACAUUUUUGCUUUGUACUUAUCAUUUUUUUCUUAUUUCAGACAGCAUGAUUUACAUCAUAUACAAAUGACAUAUUCAUCUUUUGGUGUGGCCCCAUGCUGUUUAUCAAGUUUCUCCAAUUUUGAACCUGCCUUUCUUGUUGUGUUUCCAGAGAUAUUCAUCUCAAGCAAAGAAUAAAAAGAUGGUUUUCUCCCUGCAUCCUGCUAUCCCUGUGGAAUCCAUGCUACCCACCCACUGUAAAAUCCUGAUAUGGAUAAUGCUUUAUAAUUAACUUGUGAGCUAAACUUGCUCUGAAAGUGAUGCCUCUUAUUUUAUGACAUUGGCCCAUGACAUCAGAGACAGGUGUUGGCAGUAUGGCAGUUGGCAGAGGUUGAACCUUCCUGCCAAUAUUCUGUUACAUUUUGUUGCUGUAUAACAGAUGGCAGCAGAGGGGCACUCUGACAAAAUGGCAUCAUGGAAAUGUGUAUGAAAUAAUGGUGUGUCAUUGAAUUCCUCCAUACAAAAAAAAUUAAAAAAAAAAAAAAUGGCACCCACUGAUGUUCACUGGCUGAGCGCCGUUGGAGCCCAAAGUGUGGCUGUAGCACAGUAAGGUGGUGGGUGGUGCAUUUCAGCAGUGGCAACAGCAAUGUGAAAGAUGAACCAUGUUCCUAACAGCCACACACAACUGUCGCACCAUGAAAUGUCCCAGUCAGCUCAUCCACAAUAAUUGAUGGAUUACAACCAGGGAACUGUGUACAGAGCUGAAUAUCAGCUUUGAUGCACUGGGAACAAUGGUGACAAUGUUGGAAUAUUGAAAAUUUGUGCCAGGUGGAUCCCACGAAUACUCACACAGGAUCAGAAAAAACACCGUAUAUACAUUUGUCUGGAACUAUUGAACCAAUAUGAGGCUUAAGGUGGCAGUUUCCUGGCUUGCAUCACUAGUGGUGAAAAGACAUGUUGUCACCACCGUAAGCCAGAGUCAAAAUGGCAGUCAUGGCAACAUGGGACCCCACUAAAGAAAAAGUUCAAGACACAGCCCUCCUCAGCAGGUAGAAUAAUGUGCACUGUCUUUUGGAAUAGGAAAGAGGUGAUCCUUCUGGAUUUCCUGGAACCUGGACAAACUGUCAGCUCUGAUCACUACACUGAGAUGCUGACUGAGCUGAAGGCUUGAAUUUCCAGAGUCAGGCCAGAGAAUAAGACAACCUUUCUCUUGCAACACAGUAACCUCAGGCCCCAUACCAGUUUGAAGACCAUGGAACUCACUGCCAGUCUUCAAUGGACUGUCCUACCAUAUGUACCAUACAACCUGGAUUUGCCACUUCCUGAGUUCCAUCUGUUCGAGCCAAUGAAGGAUGGACUGUGUGGGCAACAUCUUCCUAGCAAUAACACUGUCAUAGCAGCUGUGCAGAUUUUUACAAGAGUGGCAUGCAAGCUCUUGUUCAUUGUAGGCAAAAAUGUAUAGCUAAUGGUGGUGGCUAUGUUGAAAAAGCAUUUUGUAGCUGAGAAUUUGCUCUAUCAAGCACUAUUAUUAUGCUUUUUUUGUAUCUGUUGUAGUUUCUAUGGGAAUAAAUAGAAAGCAUUCAGAGCAACCUGUGUAGUACAUCCUGGCUUGUCUAACUGAUAUUUUGUGAUAGGUUUGAAGAUGCCACCUAUGAUUUGAUGAGUACUUGGUAAUAAAUUGCACAACAGUUUCCUUGUAAAAUGCACUUCUGUAAGUGAAAAUCAAGGUAAAUGUUCAUAGUGAGAAAUACUGUAGAAAAUUUUACAAUAAACUAGGGCAAAACUUC